GGAUAGUCUGUGUAGCUUGAACUGUCCCUGGAGUCUGGUGUGGUGGUGGUACCAUAAUGUGAUUGUGGGUUUUGCAUGGUAUUCUGUUAUGGAUCUAUGUCCAUGUCAUACUAUAUCGUUGACUUUUGGGUCAACCCCUUGCCUGUCUUGAUGUGGGGUAGCAGGGAGGGGGGGGGGAGGAUUAGGGCCUCGCUUGGCUCUUAGAUGGGUGAAUUCUGCAUAAAUAGGAUCCAAGGAUCCAAGGUGGAUGUGUAAUGUUGAUAUUGGUGUGAUAGAGAGUAGCAUGUCUCUUCA